AAUGCUUCAAUCCUCUUCUUCUCCAAAAUCCCUAAUUCUCGCUUCUCCCUUCUCCGGCGAAUUACCGAUUGAGGGGGAAGGCGUCGCCUUUCUUCCUCCGGCUCUCUCUCAAACUUCAAUUCUGUAAAUCUCUAGAUUGAGGUAUCGGGAAGCAGCGCCUCCAUCCGUCCUCAUCCCCGGUUAUUCGACGAGCAGAGCUCCACCGUCACUUGCCGUUCGCCGCUCCUCUGCGUCGCCGGCAAGCAGCGCUGCUGCAUGCGCUCUCCCAGGCUCCCUCCGAAGAGUUCUCCAUCGUCAAACGCUCGUCCCCAGAAGGCCUAAAGCUAAAUCCCUUUCCCCCUCUCCUUUAAUUAAUCUGUAAAUUUUCGGAGUCCUCGAUUGAUGAUUGAUUUGAAACAUUGGGGGUUCUUAUCCAGUGGAAUGAGCUUGUUGUGAUGUGAGAUUUAAAGCAUACUUCUCUUUAUUCUUGCUACAUUUCAUGAUUCUUGAUGUUAGCUCUACGGUUCUUUUAUAUAGUCAUGUUUUCAUAACUCUAUGUUUUUUACUAUCAUGGCAGCAGCAUCUUUGUUGUGGUUCUGGACAGAAUGGAUGUUGAGGCUAAGCCUAUGUAUUACUUGCUCAGGAUUCCUUUGGUGUGAUGUGGCUUCCAACUUGGAGCCUUGUGGGAGCAUUUUUAGAGAGAGAGAGUGUGGAAAGGGAAAGAUAUUCUCCUCUUAAAACUUUUUGGCUUCAUCACUAAAAUAGCUAUCUUCCAAAACUUGUUUAAUAGUGUUGGUAGGAUGAAAGGUGUAGUAUAGGUGUGUGUUGUCCCUUUCACACAUGUAAGCAUGUACUAUUUGUAUCUCCAUAUCUUGAAUUUCUAUUUCCUCAAGGUGUAACCACAUUUCUCUAAUAAAAGUAUCUCAUUUACUUUUAUCCUUGAAAAA